UGGGGAAUAUUGGACAAUGGGCGCAAGCCUGAUCCAGCCAUGCCGCGUGUGUGAUGAAGGCUCCCGGGUUGUAAAGCUCCUUCACCGGUGAAGAUAAUGACGGUAACCGGCGAAGAAGCCCCGGCUAACUUCGCGCCAGCUGCCGCGGUAAUUCGAUGGGGGCUAGCGUUGUUCGGAUUUACUGGGCGUAAAGCUCACGUAGGCAGACUUUUAAGUCAGGGGUGAAAUCCCGGGGCUCAACCCCAGAACUGCCUUUGAUUCUGGAAGUCUUGAGUAUGGUAGAGUUGAGUGGAAUUCCGAGUGUAGAGGUGAAAUUCGGAGAUAGUCGGAGGAACGCAAGUGGCGAAAGCGGCUCACUAGACCAUUACUGACGCUGAGGUGCGAAAGCGUGGGGAGCAAACAGG
rnacentral:rRNA from 1 species